rnacentral:tRNA from 2 species
GCGGAAGUAACUCAAAGGUAGAGUCCCUGCCUUCCAAGCAGGUUGUUGCGAGUUCGAGUCUCGUCUUCCGCU